CCCUUAGAUGCUCUGGGCCGCACGCGCGCUACACUGGUCGAUGCAACGAGUUUCUUUCCUUGGCCGACAGGCCUGGGCAAUCUUUGAACAUCGAUCGUGAUCGGGAUAGAUUCUUGUAAUUUUUGAUCUUAAACGAGGAAUUCCUAGUAAACGCAAGUCAUCAGCUUGCAUUGAUUACGACCCUGCCCUUUGUACACACCGCCCGUCGCACCUACCGAUUGAAUGGUCCGGUGAAAUCUCCGGACUGGCGUGAGUCGGAGCAAUCUGACAAACACCGGAAAGUUGAUUAAACCUUACCAUUUAGAGGAAGGUGGAGUCGUAACA
rnacentral:rRNA from 1 species